CCAUGUAACAGAGAAAAUUAGCAUAAAGUCCUUACGUAAGAAUGACUAUAUAGCAACCAAGAAGAAAAACAUUUUUUU